UACGUAGGGGGCAAGCGUUGUCCGGAUUUAUUGGGCGUAAAGAGCGUGUAGGCGGCCAGGUAGGUCAGCUGUGAAAACUCGAGGCUCAACCUCGAGAUGUCGGCUGAAACCAUCUGGCUAGAGUCCGGAAGAGGAGAAUGGAAUUCCCGGUGUAGCGGUGAAAUGCGCAGAUAUCGGGAAGAACACCCGUGGCGAAGGCGGGUCUCUGGGCCGAAACUGACGCUGAGGAGCGAAAGCGUGGGGAGCAAACAGG
rnacentral:rRNA from 1 species